GCUUCUUUAGCUCAGUUGGUACGAGCGUCCGACUGAAGAAUUCAGUUGCCACUGUUGCAGUGGGUGUAGCGGGCUGUUGUCUGCGCGCCAAUCGGGAGGUCACCUGUUCGACCCAGGUAAGGAGCA
rnacentral:tRNA from 1 species